rnacentral:tRNA from 1 species
GGAGUCCAGCUCACUGGUUAGAGCGCAUGCUUGGUAUGCACUAGGUCCUGGGCUCAAUCCCCAGUGUCUCCA